rnacentral:lncRNA from 1 species
AAAACCCUGAAGUAACUGGGAAAGUGUGGGAUGGACUAGAUUAGUUUUUCUGUCAUCCGGUGGCAUUGAGGCUCAAGACAGGGUGCAUCUGUGGUAGGUAGAAUUCUAUAUAGCCUCCACAUUUCCUACCCGCCCCCCAAUGUACAUGUCCUUGUAGAAUCCCCUCUCCGCCCUUGGACUUGAGUGGGCAGAAUGGACUACCUGCUUGUAAACAAUAGGAUAUGGCAAAGGUGAAGGGAUUUUGCAAGUGUAAUUAAGGCCCCUAAUCAGUUGACUUUGAGUUAAUCAAAAGGGAGAUGAUCCUGGGUGGGUCUGAGCUAAUCAGGCAAACCUUUCAAAGGAGGGCCAGGUCUUCCCUGAAGUUACAGAGCUUCCCCUGCUGGCCUUGAAGAAGUAAACUACCAUGUUGUGAGAAGGCCAUCUGGCAAGGAACUGUGAGCAGUCUCUGGGAGCUAGAUCGGCCCUUGACUGAUGGCCAUCUAGAAGAUGGGGACCUCAGUCCCACACCCACAAGGAACUGAAUUCUGCCAACAGCCUGAAUAAGCUUGGAAGAGAACCCAGAGCCUCAGGUCCCAGGUCAUCAAGGAGUGAGGACGUGGUGUACAGAUGCUCCUCUUUUUGACAGCAAGAAGGUGUGUCAAGGUCUCAGAAGCGUGCCUAUGAAAAAGAGCUCUUCUGGUGUCUACACCCGAUUAUUUCUACAGCAAGAACAUGGAAGUUUAUUUCUUAUGAUCCCGAAGACAAACACUCUUUAAAGAGGCUCAUCGACAAGGGCAUGUAUUAUGAGCCCACACUCCA